rnacentral:rRNA from 1 species
UACGAAGGGGGCGAGCGUUGUUCGGAAUUACUGGGCGUAAAGGGCUCGUAGGCGGCCAACUAAGUCAGACGUGAAAUCCCUCGGCUUAACCGGGGAACUGCGUCUGAUACUGGAUGGCUUGAGUUUGGGAGAGGGAUGCGGAAUUCCAGGUGUAGCGGUGAAAUGCGCAGAUAUCGGGAAGAACACCCGUGGCGAAGGCGGCUCUCUGGGACGGUACUGACGCUGAGACGCGAAAGCGGUGGGGAGCGAACGAG